rnacentral:rRNA from 1 species
AACGAACGCUGGCGGCAUGCCUAACACAUGCAAGUCGAACGAGACCUUCGGGUCUAGUGGCGCACGGGUGCGUAACGCGUGGGAACCUGCCCUUAGGUUCGGAAUAACUCCCCGAAAGGGGUGCUAAUACCGGAUAAUGUCUUCGGACCAAAGAUUUAUCGCCUUUGGAUGGGCCCGCGUUGGAUUAGCUAGUUGGUAGGGUAAAAGCCUACCAAGGCGACGAUCCAUAGCUGGUCUGAGAGGAUGAUCAGCCACACUGGGACUGAGACACGGCCCAGACUCCUAGGGGAGGCAGCAGUAGGGAAUAUUGGACAAUGGGCGAAAGCCUGAUCAAGCAAUGCCGCGUGAUUGAUGAAGGCCUUAGGGUUGUAAAGCUCUUUUACCCGGGAUGAUAAUGACAGUACCGGGAGAAUAAGCUCCGGCUAACUCCGUG